AUUCAGUGCAACACACUCUCAAUUAUAGCUCCCCAAUUAGUACUCUUCCGAGAUUUCCCAAAUCCAGAACAAAAAGACCCUAAAAACCAAACCCUCCACCAAUAUAUACACACUAUCAACCUGUGGCUUCCAGCAAGAAGCUGCUGCUGCAGGUGAUAUUAACUCAUGGCUGGUAAUGAAGAGAACGGCGCCUGGGUGGCGGAGGCGGCGGCGACGACAGAGGCUUCAGGGAAAUCUUUCGGUAAGAAAUGCAGUCAUGUGGCGAAGAAGCAGCGGGCCAAGUUCUACAUUCUCCGCCGUUGCAUAGCUAUGCUUGUGUGUUGGCAUGAGCGGAACGACACUUGAGGGACAGGGCGAAGACGGUGUAUUUAUUGAUUUUCGAAGAGUAUUUUGUUGUUACAUAUAUAUAUGUUUCAUGGAUAUUGUAGUAAAUCAUUAAUUGUUAGGUGAAAGUUCUUGUGGUAAAUUAAUUUUAAAAUUAUAUUUAUUGCAUGAACUUCUACAAUCGAUUUGGGGUUUUCG
rnacentral:lncRNA from 1 species